rnacentral:rRNA from 1 species
AUUGAACGCUGGCGGCAUGCUUUACACAUGCAAGUCGAACGGUAACAGGUCUUCGGAUGCUGACGAGUGGCGAACGGGUGAGUAAUGCAUCGGAACGUGCCCAGUCGUGGGGGAUAACGCAGCUGGAAACGGUUGCUAAUACCCCAUAUGCCGAAAGGUGAAAGGAUUUAUCUACCUUAGGAAGAGCUCGCGUCUGAUUAGCUAGUUGGUGAGGUAAAGGCUCACCAAGGCCAUGAUCAGUAGCUGGUUUGAGAGGACGAUCAGCCACACUGGGACUGAGACACGGCCCAGACUCCUACGGGAGGCAGCAGUGGGGAAUUUUCCGCAAUGGGCGAAAGCCUGACGGAGCAAUACCGCGUGAGGGAUGAAAGCCUGUGGGUUGUAAACCUCUUUUCUCAAGGAAGAAGUUCUGACGGUACUUGAGGAAUAAGCAUCGGCUAACUCUGUG